AGAGUUUGAUCAUGGCUCAGAACGAACGCUGGCGGCAUGCUUAACACAUGCAAGUCGAACGCAUGGUUUCGGCCAUGAGUGGCGCACGGGUGAGUAGCGCGUGGGAACCUGCCCUCUUGUGGGGGAUAACCGCGGGAAACUGCGGCUAAUACCGCAUAAGCCCGGGAAACCGGGGAAAGAUUUAUCGCGAGAGGAGGGGC
rnacentral:rRNA from 1 species